UACGUAGGGAGCAAGCGUUGUCCGGAAUCAUUGGGCGUAAAGCGCGCGUAGGUGGCUUCGUAAGUCCGUUGUGAAAGUCAAAGGCUCAACCUUUGAAAGCCGAUGGAUACUGCGGAGCUAGAGUACGGAAGAGGCGAGUGGAAUUCCUGGUGGUAGCGGUGGAAUGCGCAGAUAUCAGGAGGAACACCAAUAGCGAAGGCAGCUCGCUGGGACGUUACUGACACUGAGGCGCGAAAGCGUGGG
rnacentral:rRNA from 1 species